CCGGUUGAUCCUGCCGAAGGCUACUGCUAUUGGAGUUCGAUUAAGCCAUGCGAGUCUAAGGGAUACUUGUAUCCCUGGCAUAAUGCUCAGUAACACGUGGAUAAUCUGCCCUCAGGUGAGGAAUAAACCCGGGAAACUGGGGCUAAUACCUCAUAGACACAGAAAGCUGGAAUGCUUCUGUGUUCAAAGCUCCGGCGCCUGAGGAUGAGUCUGCGGCCUAUCAGGUUGUAGUCAGGGUCAUGACCUGACUAGCCAACGACGGGUACGGGGUGUGAGAGCACUUGCCCGGAGAUGGUUUCUGAGACACGAAACCAGGCCCUACGGGGCGCAGCAGGCGCGAAAACUUCGCAAUGCGGGAAACCGUGACGAGGGAACUCCAAGUGUCUAUGCAUUGCAUAGACUGUUUUUUAGCCUAAAUAGCUAAAAGAGUAAGAGGUGGGCAAGACCGGUGCCAGCCGCCGCGGUAACACCGGCACCUCGAGUGGUAGCCACUAUUAUUGGGCCUAAAGCGUUCGUAGCCGGUUUGGUAAAUUCUUGGGUAAAUCGUACAGCUUAACUGUGCGGAUUCCGGGGACACUACCAGACUUGAGACCGGGAGAGAUCAGAGGUACUUGUAGGGGAGCGGUGAAAUGUUGUAAUCCUACAGGGACCACCAGUGGCGAAGGCGUCUGAUCAUAACGGCUUUGACGGUGAGGAACGAAACCCUGGGGCGCAAACGGGAUUAGAUACCCCGGUAGUCCAGGGCGUAAACGCUGCUGACUUGGUGUUGGAGAUCCUACGAGGGUGUCCAGUGCUGGCGCGAAGGCAUUUAGUCAGCCGCCUGGGGAGUACGGUCGCAAGACUGAAACUUAAAGGAAUUGGCGGGGGAGCACUGCAACGUGUGGAGCGUGCGGUUUAAUUGGAUUCAACGCCGGG
rnacentral:rRNA from 1 species